AUGUGGAUUUGUCGUAACAGGGCCAGUUUCGAAGGCAAAAAGCUUAGAUCCCCUUUUGAUGUGGUCUUCUCUGCAUGUGGCUACAUGAACUACUGGGCAGGUCUGAUGGCAGGAGCUGAUCGAGAGGCGAUGGAGCGCGGCGCGAAGAUGCUCAAGACCAACAUGGCUGCCAUGAUGAGGAUUUGUGUAGCCCCAGCUGGAUCAGCGAUGGACUGA
rnacentral:rRNA from 1 species